UGCUGCUUGUGGCAGGAUUAGUAGAUCACUUCUCUCUUUUCAGGAGUUGCUGGUGAAGGGGUUUUUGGUGAAUAUUAUUGAAGCUGCAUAUGUGCCAACAAUCAAUGGGACACUGCAAGAAGGGAUCCCUCUGCCUCACCUGCUAGGCAUGAAAUAUGCAAAUGCUGAUAUUAGCAUGUCUGAGAAUGCUCUUGUGCUGAAUGUAAAAGCCACAUCAAGCUGAUCCAGGAGGCGUCACUGCACUAUUCAGCACCACUGGAAAGAGUCAGCGAGAUGGAGAACAGCAAGUCUGGUGUCCCCGGAA